rnacentral:rRNA from 1 species
GACGUAGGGCGCAAGCGUUGUCCGGAUUUAUUGGGCGUAAAGAGCUCGUAGGCGGCUUGUCGCGUCGACUGUGAAAACCCGUGGCUCAACCAUGUGGUCUGCAGUCGAUACGGGCAGGCUAGAGUGCGGUAGGGGAGAUUGGAAUUCCUGGUGUAGCGGUGGAAUGCGCAGAUAUCAGGAGGAACACCAAUGGCGAAGGCAGAUCUCUGGGCCGUAACUGACGCUGAGGAGCGAAAGCAUGGGGAGCGAACAGG